GUGUCAGCCGCCGCGGUAAUACGUAGGGGGCAAGCGUUAUCCGGAAUCACUGGGCGUAAAGGGUGCGUAGGCGGCUAAUCAAGCCAGGGGUGAAAGGCUACGGCUUAACCGUAGUAAGCCUUUGGAACUGAAUAGCUUGAGUGCAGGAGAGGAGAGUGGAAUUCCUAGUGUAGCGGUGAAAUGCGUAGAUAUUAGGAGGAACACCAGUGGCGAAGGCGACUCUCUGGACUGUAACUGACGCUGAGGCACGAAAGCGUGGGGAGCAAACAGGAUUAGAUACCCUGGUAGUCCACGCCGUAAACGAUGAGUGCUAGGUGUCGGGGGUUCACACCCUCGGUGCCGGAGUUAACGCAAUAAGCACUCCGCCUGGGGAGUACGGUCGCAAGACUGAAACUUAAAUGAAUUGGCGGGG
rnacentral:rRNA from 1 species